GCAAUGACGCAGCUAGUGAGGUUCUAACCGAGGCGCGUCAAUUGCUGGUUGAAAACUAUUUCCAAACCCCCUCUUCGGCCUAGGUCUUGCCUAGGCCUUUGAGAAUUUCUGGAAGGGUUCCCUCCGGGUAAACAAGUGCAGACUGGAAUGACUUAGAAAAAUACUUCCAAUGUGAGGUGAUUGUCAUGCCAAGAGCUAAACUUAGAAGUUAUCUACAAGCUGUCGUAGAAAAGCUAGAAGAGAAAGUGUGUAUCGUUUACAAGUAGACUUGAAUUAUUGUCUUUCUUCAUCAAUGUGAUGUGUAACCCAGAGUUUGUUCUUUUACGUAGAUUGUUCGUUUAUUUUUUUAAGAGUUUGAUUAGCCGUU